CGGGAGAAUUGCUAGCUUGCUAAUAAUUCUCUAGUGGCGCACGGGUGAGUAACACGUGAGUAACCUGCCCCCAAGAGUGGGAUAGCCCCGGGAAACUGGGAUUAAUACCGCAUAAAAUCGCAAGAUUAAAGCAGCAAUGCGCUUGGGGAUGGGCUCGCGUCCUAUUAGUUAGUUGGUGAGGUAACGGCUCACCAAGGCGAUGACGGGUAGCCGGUCUGAGAGGAUGUCCGGCCACACUGGAACUGAGACACGGUCCAGACACCUACGGGUGGCAGCAGUCGAGAAUCAUUCACAAUGGGGGAAACCCUGAUGGUGCGACGCCGCGUGGGGGAAUGAAGGUCUUCGGAUUGUAAACCCCUGUCAUGUGGGAGCAAAUUAAAAAGAUAGUACCACAAGAGGAAGAGACGGCUAACUCUGUGCCAGCAGCCGCGGUAAUACAGAGGUCUCAAGCGUUGUUCGGAAUCACUGGGCGUAAAGCGUGCGUAGGCGGUUUCGUAAGUCGUGUGUGAAAGGCGGGGGCUCAACCCCCGGACUGCACAUGAUACUGCGAGACUAGAGUAAUGGAGGGGGAACCGGAAUUCUCGGUGUAGCAGUGAAAUGCGUAGAUAUCGAGAGGAACACUCGUGGCGAAGGCGGGUUCCUGGACAUUAACUGACGCUGAGGCACGAAGGCCAGGGGAGCGAAAGGGAUUAGAUACCCCUGUAGUCCUGGCAGUAAACG
rnacentral:rRNA from 1 species